rnacentral:lncRNA from 1 species
UUUACAUAGACCUGUGAUAAUAAAACUUUUUUGCUGACGAAAUAAUUGAGGACAUUUUUGAACGCAAUCGCUGACGAAUUAUUGAAGUUUUUACAAGAUACUACAGAACACGUAUGUUAUAUAAAUCUAAAUGAACCCAAUGAAUAGAAGAGCCAUUAGUUAUGUGACAUCUUCAGUGACUGGCUAGCGACUACCUGAAAUCUCACUGGUUCCUGCAUUGACCAACCAAUUUCCUCAAGUAAUUUCCAAUCAAAUAGGUUUGAUGUGAGAUUUGUUAUUGUCCAAUUGAUAACACGUGUAUUUGUUAUGAUUAGAUAAAAAAUUCGAAGUAUUUCCGAAUUGAAUUUCAAAAUUUAAAAGAGGUGUUUUGGGACGUCAUGAAAAAGACGCCAUUUUUGUGUACUUCACAUUGUCUGUGAAAAUAUUGUUUUCCUUGAAUGAGAUCACUUCGUUCACCUGCUGAUUCUGCUCUCAUAAAAUUUGCGUUGCCUCUCCUCGGGUCUGAACGUGCAGAACAUCAACAGCACGAUAUGGUGAAAACUGAAAGGUUUGAUAAUUGAAAAAUACCGGUAAAUUACUGUAAUUUGUAAAAACAAAAAGCUGACACUUGAAAGGUAUAAAAACAAAAAUCUGACAAUUGAAAGGUAUCAUAGCUAGCCAGAAAUUUUUAUAGCGGGGGUCCUGCUGCAGUCAUGCUAUAAUUUCCCUAUAUAUAUAAUAAACCAAAUUUUUCCUCUAAAAGUAAAUGGGGCCCUCCUGAAUCUGUCUAGAUGUACAAUGUACAUGCUAAAUGCACUCAACUGGCCACAAUUAACUCGGUCAAAAAUUAAAACAACAACACAGAUAACAUGCAGUGAGUGCCUGGUUAUGGUGUCCGUGGCAGUUAAAAAAAAUAAGCAGGGGCCCACUGGCUGCAUAAGAGGGGACCCUGCUCUGGUCAUGCUUCAGUGAUUCCAUCUAUAAG